GGUGGUGACUGUCACUAGUCACCCCAUCCCUCUCUCUGUCACUAGUCACUCCCUCCCUAACUCUGUCACUGUGUCACCCACUCCCUCCCUAACUCUGUCACUGUGAAGGAAGGAAGGGGUGACUGGUGAUAGAGUUAGGGAGGGAGUGACUAGUGACAGAGUGAGGGAGCGGGUGACACAGUGACAGAGUUAGGGAGGGAGUGACUAGUGACAGAGAGAGGGAUGGGGUGACUAGUGACAGUCACCCCCUCCCUCUGUCACUAGUCACUCCCUCCCUCUCUCUGUUACUAGUCACUCCCUCACUCUGUCACCAGUCAUCCCCUCACUCUGUCACCAGUCAUCCCCUCACUCUGUCACCAGUCACCCCUUCCCUCCCUCACUCUGCCACUAGUCAUCUUUUCCCUCCCUCACUCUGCCACUAGUUACCCAUUCCCUAACU